rnacentral:rRNA from 1 species
AACGAACGCUGGCGGCAUGCCUAACACAUGCAAGUCGAACGCCAUGGCUUCGGCCAUGGAGUGGCGCACGGGUGAGUAACGCGUGGGAACCUGCCCAGCAGUAUGGGACAACCGCGGGAAACUGCGGCUAAUACCGUAUACGCCCGUCUUUGGGAGACCAGGGGCGGGGAAAGAUUGAUCGCUGUUGGAGGGGCCCGCGUCGGAUUAGGUAGUUGGUGGGGUAAAGGCCUACCAAGCCUGCGAUCCGUAGCUGGUCUGAGAGGAUGAUCAGCCACACUGGGACUGAGACACGGCCCAGACUCCUACGGGAGGCAGCAGUGGGGAAUAUUGGACAAUGGCGCAAGCCUGAUCCAGCAAUGCCGCGUGAGUGAUGAAGGCCUUAGGGUUGUAAAGCUCUUUCACACGCGACGAUGAUGACGAUAGCGUGAGAAGAAGCCCCGGCUAACUCCGUGCCAGCCGCCGCGGUAA